AUUGAACGCUGGCGGCAUGCCUUACACAUGCAAGUCGAACGGCAGCACGGGAGCAAUCCUGGUGGCGAGUGGCGAACGGGUGAGUAAUAUAUCGGAACGUGCCCAGUCGUGGGGAUAACGUAGCGAAAGCUACGCUAAUACCGCAUACGGAUCUAUGGAUGAAAGCGGGGGAUCGCAAGACCUCGCGCGAUUGGAGCGGGCCGAUAUCAGAUUAGGUAGUUGGUGAGGUAAAGGCUCACCAAGCCGACGAUCUGUAGCUGGUCUGAGAGGACGACCAGCCACACUGGGACUGAGACACGGCCCAGACUCCUACGGGAGGCAGCAGUGGGGAAUUUUGGGACAAUGGGCGCAAGCCUGAUCCAGCAAUGCCGCGUGCAGGAUGAAGGCCUCGG
rnacentral:rRNA from 1 species